rnacentral:rRNA from 1 species
AUUGAACGCUGGCGGUAGGCUUAACACAUGCAAGUCGAACAGCGGGAGCUUGCUCCUGGCUGACGAGUGGCGGACGGGUGAGUAACGCGUGGGAACCUACCUAAUAGUACGGAAUAACUCAGAGAAAUUUGAGCUAAUACCGAAUACGCCCUACGGGGGAAAGCGGGGGAUCUUCGGACCUCGCGCUAUCAGAUGAGCCUGCGUUGGAUUAGCUAGUUGGUGAGGUAAUGGCUCACCAAGGCGACGAUCCAUAGCUGGUCUGAGAGGACGAUCAGCCACACUGGGACUGAGACACGGCCCAGACUCCUACGGGAGGCAGCAGUGGGGAAUAUUGGACAAUGGGCGAAAUCCUGAUCCAGCAAUACCGCGUGUGUGAAGAAGGCCUGAGGGUUGUAAAGCACUUUCAGUAGGGAAGAAAGGUCAAGCGUUAAUAGCGUGACUAAUGACGUUACCUACAGAAGAAGUCCCGGCUAACUCCGUGCCAGCAGCCGCGGUAAUACGGGGGGGACAAACGUUAAUCGGAAUUACUGGGCGUAAAGCGCACGUAGGCGGCUUUUUAAGCUAGAUGUGAAAGCCCUGGGCUCAACCUGGGAACUGCAUUUAGAACUGGAAGGCUAGAGUAUGGUAGAGGAGUGUGGAAUUUCAGGUGUAGCGGUGAAAUGCGUAGAGAUCUGAAGGAACAUCAGUGGCGAAGGCGACACUCUGGACCAAUACUGACGCUGAGGUGCGAAAGCGUGGGUAGCAAACAGGAUUAGAUACCCUGGUAGUCCACGCCGUAAACGAUGUCUACUAGCCGUUGGGUUUCCUUGAGGACUUAGUGGCGCAGCUAACGCAUUAAGUAGACCGCCUGGGGAGUACGGCCGCAAGGUUAAAACUCAAAUGAAUUGACGGGGGCCCGCACAAGCGGUGGAGCAUGUGGUUUAAUUCGAUGCAACGCGAAGAACCUUACCUACCCUUGACAUCCAGAGAAUCUGUUAGAGAUAGUAGAGUGCCUUCGGGAAUUCUGUGACAGGUGCUGCAUGGCUGUCGUCAGCUCGUGUCGUGAGAUGUUGGGUUAAGUCCCGUAACGAGCGCAAGCCUUAUCCUUAGUUGCUAGCAGGUAAUGCUGAGAACUCUAGUGAGACUGCCGGUGAUAAACCGGAGAAAGGUCGGGACGACGUCAAGUCAUCAUGGCCCUUAUGGGUAGGGCUACACACGUGCUACAAUGGUCGGUACAGAGGGCUGCAAACUCGCGAGAGUAAGCUAAUGUCAGAAAGCCGAUCCUAGUCCGGAUUGGAGUCUGCAACUCGACUCCAUGAAGUUGGAAUCGCUAGUAAUCGCGGAUCAGAAUGCCGCGGUGAAUACGUUCCCGGGCCUUGUACACACCGCCCGUCACACCACGAAAGCCGGGAGCACUUGAAGAGGCUGUGGUAACCCGCAAGGGGGCUAGGUCUCAAUGGUGAACUUGGUGAUUGGGGUG